UUGGCCCUGAAUCAAGGCCAAUAGGUUGUUGAAGCUGUUGCUUUCAAGUAGGAACCUAAAGAAAUGUCUUCUUAUGUUGGCCAUUUUAGAAAAUUUUGGAGAUAUACAGUCAGUUCAUUAGAAAGAAACAUCU
ensembl:snoRNA